UUCUUGCCUCAGUCUAUUCAUUUCCUCGGUCUAUCUGGUAUGCCUCCACAUUACUCCAACUAUCCCGACGCAUACACUACAUGAAAUAUUCUAUCAUCUGUAGGGUCAUUUAUCUCCCUGAUAGCAAUAAUACUAAUAAUCUUCAUGACCUGAGAAGCCUUCAUUUCAAAACAAAAAGUUCUAACAAUUGAACAACCCUCCACUAAU
rnacentral:lncRNA from 1 species